rnacentral:rRNA from 2 species
UACAGAGGGGGCAAGCGUUGUUCGGAAUUACUGGGCGUAAAGGGCGCGUAGGCGGCCUCUUAAGUCGAACGUGAAAUCCCCGGGCUUAACCCGGGAACUGCGUCCGAUACUGGGGGGCUUGAAUUCGGGAGAGGGAUGCGGAAUUCCAGGUGUAGCGGUGAAAUGCGUAGAUAUCUGGAGGAACACCGGUGGCGAAGGCGGCAUCCUGGACCGACAUUGACGCUGAUGCGCGAAAGCCAGGGGAGCAAACGGG